UAAUUAGAGAGUUUGAUCCUGGCUCAGAUUGAACGCUGGUGGCAUGCUUAACACAUGCAAGUCGAACGGUAACAGGCUAAGACAAUCCCUUCGGGGUGCGUUGUGCGCUGACGAGUGGCGGACGGGUGAGUA
rnacentral:rRNA from 1 species